AGAGUUUGAUCCUGGCUCAGGACAAACGCUGGCGGCGUGCGUAACACAUGCAAGUCGCACGCAUCGGUCUUCGGACUGAUGAGUGGCGUCCGGGUGAGUAGCACGUGGAUGACCUGUCCCGGUGUGGGGGAUACCUCUCAGAAAUGAGGGUUAAUCCCGCAUACGUCCGGUGGCGCACAGCCACGGGGGAAAGUCUGGGC
rnacentral:rRNA from 1 species